UAAAUCUCCAAAUAUGUAACAACUCGGCUCACUAGCAGUAAUAACUCGUUAGGCCUAAACCACCCGCACAAGAUACGUAAUUUCAGUUAUGAUUACUAGUAUCCUUGGUCUCUUAUAUACCCAACCACAAUCCCAUUCUUAUCCAAUAUGAGGCUAUUGGGGUGUCACAAACUCCUACCGUUUAGGUCCUGAUGUUCUCGUCAGUCCAAUCACACACACAGUCCAAGAUUACUAGGCGAUGUGAGACUUGUUCUACUAAUCUUGUCAUUUCGACCCUAACUUAACCUAUCAUUUCCCGACCCUGUCUUAGCAGCUGUCAUUCUGAUCUUGGCACAGUCAAGGCUCAUCUCACACUUCUAAUUGAUGAUUUGCUCUGAUACCAAAUGUAACGAUCAGGCCCACUAUCAAUAAUAACUCGUUGGGCCUAAAUCAUCAGCAUAAAAUGUUUAAAUUCAGUUAUUAUUACUAAUGUUUAUGGUUAUAUGGUACUAUCGGGGUGUCAGAAAAUAACUCUAUUUUUAUACGUUCCAAAUACCUCUACUCGAAACGACACUUCUCGUGAUCUCUCUCUAUCCUUCGAUUACAUAUGU
rnacentral:lncRNA from 1 species